GACGAACGCUGGUGGCGUGCUUAACACAUGCAAGUCGAGCGGAAAGGCCACUUCGGUGGUACUCGAGCGGCGAACGGGUGAGUAACACGUGAGUAAUCUGCCCCUGGCUUUGGGAUAGCCACCGGAAACGGUGAUUAAUACCGGAUACGACCACUUCUCGCAUGGGAUGGUGGUGGAAAGUUUUUUCGGCCAGGGAUGUGCUCGCGGCCUAUCAGCUUGAUGGUGAGGUAAUGGCUCACCAUGGCUUCGACGGGUAGCCGGCCUGAGAGGGUGACCGGUCACACUGGGACUGAGACACGGCCCAGACUCCUACGGGAGGCAGCAGUGGGAAAUAUUGGACAAUGGGCGGAAGCCUGAUCCAGCAACGCCGCGUGAGGGAUGACGGCCUUCGGGUUGUAAACCUCUUUCAGCAGGGACGAAGCGCAAGUGACGGUACCUGCGGAAGAAGCACCGGCCAACUACGUGCCAGCCGCCGCCGUAA
rnacentral:rRNA from 1 species